CUCGGCGUAGUUCAAAUGGCGUAGAACGGUUGGUGCAAAAAGCAAAUAAAACAACAGGUUGCAGGUUCGAGCCCUGCCGCCGGAA
rnacentral:tRNA from 1 species